rnacentral:tRNA from 1 species
AGGACGUGACGCGCUGGCGCGUCGGCGACCGGGUCUGCGCCCUGCUGGGCGGCGGCGGCUACGCCGACUACGCCGUGGUCGACGCCCGGCACGCCCUGCC